GGGGGUGAUUGGUGUCGACCUGGCUGACGCCGACCCUGGUUGCGAGCCGAGGCGCCGCUGGCCUCGUAAAAAGCGGCAAAACUACAAACGCGAACACUUCUCAGUACGCGUACGCAGCCUAAGUAGGCUGCGCGUCCAACCGUUCCCUGUCGGCCGGAACGGAACCUGGGCGUCACCCAUGCCGAAUGACCGCUCAGGGCUCGUUCGCCGCCCGAAGGCGGGACAUUCAAGCGCGAACCGGUUGCGGCGGAUCCCGUCUAUGGGAGACGCGGGCACGGGAAUAAAACGUAGACUACGCUCGUAGAAGCCUGGGAAGGAUCACCGGGGACCGGGGUUCGAGUCCCCGCACCUCCAUUC
rnacentral:tmRNA from 1 species